UACAGAGGUCUCAAGCGUUGUUCGGAUUCAUUGGGCGUAAAGGGUGCGUAGGUGGCGCGCUAAGUCAGGUGUGAAAUUUCGGAGCUUAACUCCGAAACUGCAUUUGAUACUGGCGUGCUUGAGGACUGGAGAGGAGACUGGAAUUCAUGGUGUAGCAGUGAAAUGCGUAGAGAUCAUGAGGAAGACCAGUGGCGAAGGCGACAUCCUGGACCGGUAUUGACGCUGAGGCGCGAAAGCCAGGGGAGCAAACGGG
rnacentral:rRNA from 1 species